rnacentral:lncRNA from 1 species
CAAAUAUUCAGACUGUCACAUUGCCUCUCAUUAAAACUCAGAAAAAAACAGUGUCACGUGGCAAACACAAGUGGAGAAUUACCUUUCCAGGGGAUGAGAAAUGCCUGCAUUAUGGUGAGGAGUCAUUUUGUAAACAUUGUUUCACUGGAAGUGUUAGAGGAACUGUAACUGAAGCAACCCAAGCUUUAAGUACACUGGAGUUUGGAGCACCUGUUAAGAAAGAUGAGGUACACUGGUUUGAUCCUAGUGGGACUCGAAUUCCCCGUAAACAGCCCCAAGUUGAUCACCAUGAUAGUCUUCGUUUUCUUCGGUAAGUGAAUUAUUCUUCUGGUUUAUCUGAAUUCAUAACAUCAAUUCUUUGUGAAUCAAAUAGUGUCUCCAGUUACUUAAAUAUCAAGCUAACAAAGGUUUAUAAUAUAAAGUAUUAAUUACAAAUUUGCACUCUAACAUAGCUUAUUACUUUUACAAAAAUGUAUGCCUACUUUCACUCAUUUAUAACUCUAUAGAAAAUGCACAAUGUGAGAAUUGCAUUUUACCACUCAGAUUUUUUCAUAUAUACACACACACACACACACACACACACAUACUGAUUCGGUUAGUUCAGGUAAUUGAUUAGGGUUUAUAAAAUUUACAUAUAUAUUAGAGCCUUUUAGAAAUGAAACUUUCUGGUAUUUAUUUACAGGUUAUAAGAUGACAAAUUUCAUGUUAUUAUCCAUUUUUCUUUUCAUUUAAAUUAAAACAAGAUCCAUUCAGUUUCCUUUAUUUUAGAUGUUAAUAUUUAAUAAAUAGGAGACAGACAGUUCAUAGAGUAACACAACACAACCUCAAAUGCUUCACAUUUCAGUUCAUUUUUAUAACCCAGAGCUAAAGUGUGAGCUUCUCUCUGUAAAAAUAAUGUAUGCUUAAAGUAGAAUCUAUGUAGAGCUACUUGGUAUACAUGUGAUUGGAGAAGCUAUUAUAUAUUCCUAAGCAUGCAGUAGAAUCUACAAACUGAAUUCAGAAAAAAGGAUA